rnacentral:rRNA from 1 species
UCAGAAUGACCAUUGAAGGUCCAGCCUGCCCAGUGAAGUUUUAAACGGCCGCGGUAUCCUAACCGUGCUAAGGUAGCGCAAUCACUUGUCCCCUAAAUCGGGACUAGUAUGAACGGCAUCACGAGGGUUACACUGUCUCCCCCUUUUAAUCAGUGAAACUGACCCCCCCGUGAAGAGGCGGGGAUUCAGAUAUAAGACGAGAAGACCCCAUGGAGCUUCAAAUACAUGCCACCUGCCUCCCCAUACCAUUGCAACAAGGCAAAUCUGACCACUGUUUUAGGUUGGGGCGACCACGGAGUAAAACACAACCUCCGCGACGAACUUUCAAUUUAAGAACAACAACUCAAGAAAUCAAAAUUGACGUAAUUGACCCAAAUAUCUUAUUUGAUCAACGAAC